rnacentral:rRNA from 1 species
GACGAACGCUGGCGGCGUGCUUAACACAUGCAAGUCGAACGGAAAGGCCCUGCUUUUGUGGGGUGCUCGAGUGGCGAACGGGUGAGUAACACGUGAGUAACCUGCCCUUGACUUUGGGAUAACUUCAGGAAACUGGGUCUAAUACCGGAUAGGAGCUCCUGCUGCAUGGGGGGGGUGGGAAAGUUUCGGCGGUUGGGGAUGGACUCGCGGCUUAUCAGCUUGUUGGUGGGGUAGUGGCUUACCAAGGCUUUGACGGGUAGCCGGCCUGAGAGGGUGACCGGCCACAUUGGGACUGAGAUACGGCCCAGACUCCUACGGGAGGCAGCAGUGGGGAAUAUUGCACAAUGGGCGGAAGCCUGAUGCAGCAACGCCGCGUGCGGGAUGACGGCCUUCGGGUUGUAAACCGCUUUCGCCUGUGACGAAGCGUGAGUGACGGUAAUGGGUAAAGAAGCACCGGCUAACUACGUG